AUACGGAAGGUCCGGGCGUUAUCCGGAUUUAUUGGGUUUAAAGGGAGCGCAGGCGGAGCUGCAAGCGUGACGUCAAAUUUCGGGGCUCAACCCCGUCUCGCGUCGCGAACUGCGUCCCUUGGUUGCGGGAAGGGGAGGCGGAACUCGUGGUGUAGCGGUGAAAUGCAUAGAUAUCACGAAGAACUCCGAUCGCGAAGGCAGCCUUCCGGCCCGUCAACGACGCUCAUGCUCGAAGGUGCGGGUAUCAAACAGGAUUAGAUACCCUGGUAGUCCGCACAGUAAACGAUGGACACCCGCGGUUUGGCCUGUAUGGCUGAGCCGCCAAGCGAAAGCGUUAAGUGUCCCACCUGGGGAGUACGCCGGCAACGGUGAAACUCAAAUGAAUUGGCGGGG
rnacentral:rRNA from 1 species